ACUAUAAUUAACAGAGAACAACACAAGAGAUUUAUACUGGUUCACCCAAACAAGGGCUAGUCCAGUCCCGACCAACAGCCGGAAUUCACUCGCCUAAAGGUAAUGGCAAAACCUUUCUAAGCUUUAAGGCUACUUCGCUUAGGAACCAGUCUUUUACGGGUAGACUCACACCUUAGAGUAUCAAGGGCACUCUUAAGAACCUCUAACUUUUACGGGUAAGUUAGUACCUUAGAGUAUCAAGGAACUCUUAAAAACCUCUCUAAGCUUUAAGGCUACUUCGUUUAGGAACCAGUCUUUUACGGGUAGACUCACACCUUAGAGUAUCAAGGGCACUCUUAAGAACCUCUAACUUUUACGGGUAAGUUAGUACCUUAGAGUAUCAAGGAACUCUUAAAAACCUCUGAAAUCUUUAAAGGUAGACUCAACCUAAGAGUUUUCCCGGAAACUCUAUAAAACCAAACUAGAGCUUUAUGGUUGAGCUCACAAACCUUCUCUAACACUUUGGUACUAUUGAGACAACCCUCUCAACCAAAGUGGACACACACAAGAGGUGAUUAGAGGAGUGGAAUAUUAAAGCAAACAACACUUCUUACUUGUAAAGAUGAACAAGAAGAUUAGAAGAAGAAGUUAGAGAGCUUUUGAAGCUUUGGAAAGCUAGGACACUUGAGCACUUGAAAGCUUGGAAGCUUGGAGGCAAAAACGUGUGGGCAAGUGUAGAGUGAAAGCUCUUGAGUUUGCUUGUAGUGUGGUGAGUGGAAAUGAGGGGUUUACCCUUCUAUUUAUAGCCUUGGCCACUCAAUGUCCAUCCUUGGAUCUUCAAUGGAUGGCUCCUUGAUUUCUCACAUAAAUCCAAGCUUUGUCUUUGAAUAGUGUUUUCCUUGGAUAGUGUUUUGUCCCUUGUUGGAGAAU
rnacentral:lncRNA from 1 species